AUGCCAAACACGAGCUGGAUCCUGCUAGGAGAACAAUACUCUGCUGAACUCUGAGUGCUUUUCUUCAUUUGAGCUGAAUCAUGUACAACAUCAAUGUGACGUGUGGAGAGAUUGAGACUGAAUACAGACUUCAUGCUGAUUUACUGAACUACACCAAUAAUCCUGACUGUGAUCAGAGCUGGUAUUCACAGGGCAAGCGUCUGUUAGCAGAUCCAUCAGAUCCUCAAACACUGUUUGAUCCUGCUAUUUCUGUCUCGUCUGACCAUCUCUUCACUUCUCACUGUGUGGAUAAAGUUCAUCAUGAGAUCAUCUGUCAUUCUGCUGAAUUAAGAUAUGAGACUAUAUUUAGAGUGUUUAAUGGCACAGACUCCAUUAGCAGACCAAGACAAACUCCAGAAUCACAUCAGUUGUGGUGGAUUUCUGCCCUGAUCUUCAUUGUUCUUCUGGUUUUGAUCUGUUUCUUCUUGCGUAAAAGGAUCUCCAAUUGUAUUUCGAGAACAGUUACAAGCAUAUUUCAGCGCAAUGAUUCAGAAAACAGAGAUCCUGAAUCUGGUGUCCAAAUGAAGAUCACUGAAUCAAUCUGAAUCUGAACAGAUCAAUGGCUCCAUGUCCAGAGGAUGAUCAGAAACAUGCAUUGAUUUGAACUCUGAUCAGUCAGGAUGAUUGAUUGUUUUAAUGAUUCACUUUAAUGAAAUGUUUCCUGUGACAAAAAAAAAAAAAAAAAAAAAAAAUUGUCUGACCAGUCAUUUUUUUGUUAAAUUUGAUUUAUUAGUGAAUGUCUCUGUACAGACAGAUGAAUGUGAUUGAAUAUGUUUUCAGCAGGACUGUAAGUGGAUCAGAAACUGUUUUUACAUUACAGAUUAAAUCGUGAUUAAAUGAUUGUAGCUUUUCCCCAGAUUUCUAUUAGCUUUCAUGAGAUAACCAGUGGAAUGUCACCACAGAGGACUUCUAAAACGCAUCUCUCUCUCUUCAUAUAUACACAUAGAAAGAGUCACGUGGAGAGAUUAAGAGCAUUGUGUUGGGACACAUCAGUCAUUUGUGUUGCAUUAGCUGAAAACAGUGCAUCUGUAGUUCCCAGAAUCUUCAGCCGCUUCAAACUCUCAGAGCAGAUGGUGACCUUCAGAAACCACAGGAAGAAUCGGUAAAGAGAUGUCAGUGAUCGACACUCCUGGACUUUAUGAUACUAUAGCUGUUAUGAUGGAAAUAGUGAAAUACAUAAGACAGGCCACACACUUGAAGAUUCUGAGCCCAAUUUUGAGCCUAAUUUGCACCCCAAGCAAUCAGGGGUAUGGCCCAAUUCGAGGCAAAUUACUUUUUGUCCAAAAAAAAACUUCUGUGGUGACAUUACGAUUAUUUAACUGCUCCCGAUCAAACUCAAAUUGUAAAUAUGCUUGAUAUUUAGGACUCCUGAUCAGGCUGCAUCCUACGUGAUACCUGUGAUAGCCAAUAAGAGUGAGCAAGCAUUGCCUACUGGAUGUUGUGUGCUGCUAUAGCUAAAACAGUAUGGAGAAAGAAGAUCAUCCAGAUUUUUUUUUUGUUCAUAGGAUUAUAAUGUUAAACAUCGGUUGAAACUGUCCGAUGAUUGAUCUCCUUUCACUUGAAGAGAGAUUUACUGUAUACACUGCUCUGUUCUGAUGACAUGAGAAUAAAAAUGACAAAUCAAGUUGAACGCUCUGGAUU
ensembl:lncRNA